GACGUAGGGGGCAAGCGUUGUCCGGAAUCAUUGGGCGUAAAGCGCUCGUAGGUGGAUCGGUAAGUCUGCAAAGAAAGACCCGGGCUCAACUCGGGGAACGGUGUGGAUACUACCGAUCUUGAGGCAAUCAGAGGAUGAUGGAAUUCCCGGUGUAGCGGUGAAAUGCGUAGAUAUCGGAAGGAACACCAGUGGCGAAAGCGGCUUCCUGGUCCGACACCGACGUUCAGGCACGAAAGCGUGGGGAGCAAACAGG
rnacentral:rRNA from 1 species